rnacentral:rRNA from 1 species
UACAGAGGAGCCAAGCGUUGUCCGGAUUGACUGGGCGUAAAGCGCACGCAGGCGGACGCGCGCGUGGGGUGUGAAAUCUGGCCGCUUAACGGCCAGGCGCCAUCCCAUACGGCGCGUCUGGAGUGAUGCAGAGGUCGGUGGAAUUGCCGGUAGUGGUGAAAUGCGUAGAUAUCGAGAGGAACACCAGCGGCGAAGGCGGCUCACUGGGCUCCACCUGACGCUGAGGCGCGAAAGCGUGGGGAGCAAACCGG